UUUUCAUUAAACGGGAACUUAACUCAGUAUUAUAGCGGGGAAAUGUAUAAUUUUGGAGGCAAAACAAUUGGGUUCCCCACUCCAAACCAAAAAAGUCUCGAUUUCUCAAGUGUAAAAGUCUUAUCUUUUACACUUAGCUCCAAAAAAAAAAAAAGCUUUCUCCAAAAUUUCAAUUCAAUCUCAAAGUGUUUGAUUCCAUUGUGAAAUCUGAAUACCCAUUGCAUGAACUCUCGAUUCCUAUUGAAGAAGUCUCGAUUAUCAACACCACAAUCUCCAUCGAUUCUCCACUAUCCGUCUCUGUCUUUCUCCUUCUUUCUCUGCUGUUGUUUCUCAGAUCCGCCACCGUCUCUCUCCUCCGUCGCCAUAUCUCUCCGCCGCUGCCGUCUCUCUCCGUCUCUAUCUCUCUUCGACUCCGUUGAAGUAAUUGGGUUUUGGAUUUUUGUUUGUUGAUUUGAAUCGUGUUUCUUUCUUAUGUGAGCUUGGGUGUUUGACUUUCAAUCAGUGUUUUCGAUUGAUUUUUUUGUCUGAGUUUAGACUCUAUUUUUUCUGUAUCUUGAGAUAAUGCUUAGUGUGAAAAAGUUUAUUGCUCUCGUAUAUGCUAAUUUGGUUUCCUAGCUCUUGUCUCUAGUCCUUACCGGUCGCUGCCACUGCUCUCAUGAUUAUUGAUGUCUCAUGUUUCUUUUUCUGAUGUGUAGUUGGAUUUGUGGAUCUGUAGUUGCCGCUCUGUAGCUGUUCAGUACAAGAACUACAAGAAUCUUGAUUCCUUAACUUCUUGUCCGUUCCUACCUUGUUCUUUUACUUGUGUAAGAUAUUAUUUCUUUACUUUUUGUUAUACAUUUUGUGUCUGAUGUGAGUAUUCGAUACAAAUGAGAACAGGUCCUUGCAAGUGAUUCUUGCCUAAGAAUGCUCUACUUAUUAACAUUUUCCAGGAUAGGAUUUGUGUUGGUGAUAAUAGCUGGAAGCUAAACUAGUCUAACCUUUUUUUUGCUGUUUUAAGACCACAAGAAGGAGAAACUCUCUGGCAACUUGCACAGAACUUUGUGAAGCUUUUCUUGUGCUCAGAUAACGGUCUGACAAAUCACAUAUGCAAAUGAUAAGAGUACAUAUGUAUAUGCCUUUUUUACUGCAAUCAGAGAGAUAAAGAAGAUAAAGCAACAAGUGAAGUGGUCUUGGAGCUGAGAUCAUUGGCACAUUCGUCCUUGUAUACACAGUCUUCUCAGCAACUGACGCCAAGAGAAACGCCUGUGACUCUCAUGUCCCCUUGACAGAGGACAGUGAUUGAUGAUUCUUUGACAGCUAGUUCCAAAAUCGUUUCAAAAUCAUCACAUGCACAGACAAAGGCAAAGACACCACCAGAGACCUAUGUAUCACAAUUAGGUUUAUUAUGUUUAGAAACUUUAAGACAAUUUUUUUGUUUAUUUUCAUGUGUAAGACUAUUUUGUUGGUAAUUAAAAUAAUUUCUAUUUUCAUUA